UACGUAGGGUGCAAGCGUUGUCCGGAAUUAUUGGGCGUAAAGAGCUCGUAGGCGGUUUGUCGCGUCGAAUGUGAAAACCCGGGGCUCAACCCCGGGCCUGCAUUCGAUACGGGCAGACUAGAGUUCGGUAGGGGAGUCUGGAAUUCCUGGUGUAGCGGUGAAAUGCGCAGAUAUCAGGAGGAACACCGGUGGCGAAGGCGGCAUCCUGGACCGAGAUUGACGCUGAGGCGCGAAAGCCAGGGGAGCAAACGGG
rnacentral:rRNA from 1 species